CAGAGUAAGAUGUGUGAUUAAGGACUUUUGUACCUUGAAAAAUUGACAACUACAGGCAGAAACUUCAUUGACAGAGAAGCAAACAGGGAUGUCCAUGCCAAGAUAUACUUACAUUAACACUCCGCAGCUUUCUACCAUCUUGUGUAAGAAGUGUGUACCCACGGUACUUAUGGCCAACAAUUUCUGUUGACUGAAGAUCAUGCAUCAGAAUAUUGCUAUUAAGUGGAGCAUGACACUGCGAUAGCAAGCCUACUCACAUUUGUAAGGAUGACAUCGACUGC